ACAACAUUCGGAUCGGUCUACCGAUCAAUUACACCCGCUCGGUGGAAGAUCUUCCUUUCGUCGU
rnacentral:pre_miRNA from 1 species